rnacentral:rRNA from 1 species
CAGUCGCCGCGGUAAUGCGUAGGGUGCGAGCGUUAAUCGGAAUUACUGGGCGUAAAGCGUGCGCAGGCGGUUUUGUAAGACAGGCGUGAAAUCCCCGGGCUCAACCUGGGAAUGGCGCUUGUGACUGCAAAGCUAGAGUGCGGCAGAGGGGGAUGGAAUUCCGCGUGUAGCAGUGAAAUGCGUAGAUAUGCGGAGGAACACCGAUGGCGAAGGCAAUCCCCUGGGCCUGCACUGACGCUCAUGCACGAAAGCGUGGGGAGCAAACAGGAUUAGAUACCCCGGUAGUCCCUGUCUCUUAUAC